AUACGGAGGAUGCGAGCGUUAUCCGGAUUUAUUGGGUUUAAAGGGAGCGUAGGUGGAUUGUUAAGUCAGUUGUGAAAGUUUGCGGCUCAACCGUAAAAUUGCAGUUGAAACUGGCAGUCUUGAGUACAGUAGAGGUGGGCGGAAUUCGUGGUGUAGCGGUGAAAUGCAUAGAUAUGACGAAGAACACCGAUUGCGUAGGCAGCUGACCAGACCGCAAAUGACGCUCAUGCACGAAAGUGCGGGGAUCGAACAGGAUUAGAUACCCUGGUAGUCCGCACAGUAAACGAUGAAUACUUGUUUUCGGCGAUAUAAUGUCGGAGGCAAAGCGAAAGCGAUAAGUAUUCCACCUGGGGAGUACGCCGGCAACGGUGAAACUCAAAUGAAUUGACGGGG
rnacentral:rRNA from 1 species